GCACCAUGGAGAGCGAACAGAGGCUUAUCCAGGUGAUCAGAGCAAUGCGGUCCGAAAUCAGAAAGCUGGAGCUGGAGAACAUGGGCCUGAGGAGGAUAGCUGGAGCGAAUCUGCGAAAGAAUGCAACAGUCCCCACCAUGACAGCAGAAUGCAGAGAGAGCGUCGUCAUGACAGUCAGAAGAUAUUCAGUCUUCCAGCCGUUACCCAGUCAUCGAAACUGGCAGUUGAACACUGCCAAAAGUGAGCGGAGGACUGAAAAACAGCAAAAAUGAAAAUUAGCAUGUCAUUCUGUAGUUUAUCUGACAUAUAGUGGUCGUGUUAAAAAAAGUUCUAGCACCUGGGGGGCAGGUUUAGCUAAUAGCGUCAUCUCUAUUUUGGAAUCUGGAAAAUAGUGUAUCACGUGCACCAAAUAAAGUAUUUUCUCUUUUA